rnacentral:rRNA from 1 species
AGGACGAACGCUGGCGGCGUGCUUAACACAUGCAAGUCGAGCGGAAAGGCCCUUUCGGGGGUACUCGAGCGGCGAACGGGUGAGUAACACGUGAGUAACCUGCCCCAGUCUUUGGGAUAACCCUCGGAAACGGGGGCUAAUACCGGAUGUGACCGGUCACCGCAUGGUGGUUGGUGGAAAGUUUUUCGGUCUGGGAUGGGCUCGCGGCCUAUCAGCUUGUUGGUGGGGUGAUGGCCUACCAAGGCGACGACGGGUAGCCGGCCUGAGAGGGCGACCGGCCACACUGGGACUGAGACACGGCCCAGACUCCUACGGGAGGCAGCAGUGGGGAAUAUUGCACAAUGGGCGGAAGCCUGAUGCAGCGACGCCGCGUGAGGGAUGACGGCCUUCGGGUUGUAACCUCUUUCAGCACCGACGAAGCGUGAGUGACGGUAGGUGCAGAGAAGCGCCGGCCAACUACGCGCCAGCAGCCGC